ensembl:lncRNA
UUUUUCAGGGGAAGGGUGGGGGGCGUUCUGUUGCAUUUUAAUGUCGGGGGAGCUGGGAGGAGGUGGCUGGGAGGUGUAGUCGCAGUUAGUUUGGGGUUGUCCGUGUGCACUGUCAUUAAUUUGCAGUGGAUGGAUCCUGUGCUUGCUCGGGUAAAAAAAAGAAGAAGUCGUAGAUCUUUUACGGAAGUUCACGAAACUUUCCGGUAAAACGGAAGAGUCCGUAGAUUUUCUCUACUAUUUACGGACAUUCCUUCAACUCUAAAACGGAAAAUUCCGUUUUUCCACAAUACAAUUUCUAUGAAUAGAAAAACUGAAAGUCGUGUUUAUCAUUUACAGACACUGGUUUUCACUGUAACUCAUUAAAUGUAUUUCUUUAUAUCCUUAUUAUUCUGCCCCUCAGGUUAAUUCUGAGGUAUGUUUUAUAUAAGUUUGUUAUAUGAUGGGUCACAAUCGUUCUGUAAUUAAUUGUAGCAACGUGUCAGUAAAUGUGUUUAUUCCUGAUCUUCUCUGGGCGAAGCCUGCCAUCUAGUGGGCUGACAGGGUAGCGCCAUGUAAGAGCUCAAGCAGUGGUUUUCUCCCAGCGCUCGACAGGGAAGGUCCAUUUCUCCGUGUCUCUGUAAAUUCCUGCAUCUGUUGCUCUUGAAAAGGCAUAAUCUUUUUACAAAAGAAAAAUAAGGAUCAGUAAAGCUCUGAAGAAUGCGACACGGUCUCCUGAGUGUUUACUGAAGCCAUUAAUGUUUAGCUCUCUGCAUAAGCUGGAUAGAGACAUUCAGCUGAGGGCAGAAGACCUAUCCUUACACUUUGAUACAGUUACAACCUAUUACACCAUCUGCUCAAAAAUGUGUAAAUUAAAACUUCAUGAACAAAAUAACUGACAGACAUUAAAAUGUGAAGAUUUGUUUUUCCCUUGAAGUCAGUUUGUCCUCAUGUAAACGUGUUCAUGCACAUUCAAGUGUUUUCUUCAAACAGGACACCUGACCAACAAACAUGUAAUAGUAUUUGUACAGUAACAGUAUCCAGAGUACUUUAGGUUCGAAUCACCGCUGUGGUUGUUUGGGCUCAGCCAAACAGGUGUGGUUCACAUCCAUGUGUGUCCACUCAUGAUAAGGACACACAUGUAGUCCUGCAUUCACUUCAUCAAUGAAUCCGAGUGAACGUUUGUCCUGCAUUAACUCUGUGGGGUCUUCACCUCACAGUAACACGUGUGUUUGUUAACUGAUGCUAUAUGAAUAAAAGUGAACUACAGG